rnacentral:rRNA from 1 species
UACGAAGGGUACGAGCGUUAUUCGGAGUUACUGGGCGUAAAGAGCGUGUAGGCGGCUUGUUAAGUUAGAUGUUAAAUUCCCCGGCCUAACUGGGGGCAAGCAUCUAAGACUGGCGGGCUAGAGUUCAAGAGAGAGAAGUAGAAUUCCCGGAGUAGCGGUAAAAUGCGUAGAUCUCGGGAGGAAUACCGAUGGCGAAGGCAGCUUCUUGGCUUGUAACUGACGCUAAAGCGCGAAAGCGUGGGGAGCAAACAGG